rnacentral:rRNA from 1 species
GUGCCAGCAGCCGCGGUAAUACGGAGGAUCCAAGCGUUAUCCGGAAUCAUUGGGUUUAAAGGGUCCGUAGGCGGGGUAAUAAGUCAGUGGUGAAAGUCUGCAGCUCAACUGUAGAACUGCCAUUGACACUGUUAUCCUUGAGUAAUUAUGAAGUGGUUAGAAUAUGUAGUGUAGCGGUGAAAUGCAUAGAUAUUACAUAGAAUACCGAUUGCGAAGGCAGAUCACUAAUAAUUUACUGACGCUGAGGGACGAAAGCGUAGGUAGCGAACAGGAUUAGAUACCCUAGUAGUCC